UAGAGUUUGAUCAUGGCUCAGAUUGAACGCUGGCGGCAGGCCUAACACAUGCAAGUCGAGCGGUAGAGAGAAGCUUGCUUCUCUUGAGAGCGGCGGACGGGUGAGUAAUGCCUAGGAAUCUGCCUGGUAGUGGGGGAUAACGUUCGGAAACGGACGCUAAUACCGCAUACGUCCUACGGGAGAAAGCAGGGGACCUUCGGGCCUUGCGCUAUCAGAUGAGCCUAGGUCGGAUUAGCUAGUUGGUGAGGUAAUGGCUCACCAAGGCGACGAUCCGUAACUGGUCUGAGAGGAUGAUCAGUCACACUGGAACUGAGACACGGUCCAGACUCCUACGGGAGGCAGCAGUGGGGAAUAUUGGACAAUGGGCGAAAGCCUGAUCCAGCCAUGCCGCGUGUGUGAAGAAGGUCUUCGGAUUGUAAACGCACUUUAAGUUGGGAGGAAGGGCAGUUACCUAAUACCGUGAUUGUUUGAACGUACC
rnacentral:rRNA from 1 species